rnacentral:tRNA from 1 species
UGACACGAGGAUUUUCAGUCCUCUGCUCUACCAGCUGAG